rnacentral:tRNA from 1 species
GGGGAUGUAGCUCAGUGGGUACAGUGCUUGCCUAGCAUGCAUGAAGCCCUGGGUUCAAUCUCCAGCCUCUA